rnacentral:rRNA from 1 species
GACGAACGCUGGCGGCGUGCUUAACACAUGCAAGUCGAACGGAAAGGCCCUGCUUUUGUGGGGUGCUCGAGUGGCGAAAGGGUGAGUAACACGUGAGUAACCUGCCCUUGACUUUGGGAUAACUUCAGGAAACUGGGGCUAAUACCGGAUAGGAGCUCCUGCUGCAUGGUGGGGGGUGGAAAGUUUCGGCGGUUGGGGAUGGACUCGCGGCUUAUCAGCUUGUUGGUGGGGUAGUGGCUUACCAAGGCUUUGACGGGUAGCCGGCCUGAGAGGGUGACCGGCCACAUUGGGACUGAGAUACGGCCCAGACUCCUACGGGAGGCAGCAGUGGGGAAUAUUGCACAAUGGGCGGAAGCCUGAUGCAGCAACGCCGCGUGCGGGAUGACGGCUUUCGGGUUGUAAACCGCUUUCGCCUGUGACGAAGCGUGAGUGACGGUAAUGGGUAAAGAAGCACCGGCUAACUACGUG